UUUCCCUUUGUACCUCUUUGCUUCCUACCCUCCCUCCCUUUAUUCAGCUAACUGCCCUCUAAAAGCUUCUUCCAUCAGUUGCCCUGUUAUGGGUCAUUCCCAUGGGCCUUUUUAUAAAUAGACCAGUUCAUGCAGUGUCCAGAGAUGGACCUGUGUCUUUUGCUGCAAAUGGGCUCUGUAGGGGUUCAAGUUAAUCCUACAGUGACCAAGACCUGGCAUCAGCUCUCUUACCUCACCCCUCACUUUUACUGAAAAUAACCCAAUUGUGCAGUGUCAUCUGCCACUAGGUAACCUUUUUUUUUAAUUCACUGAUUACAGCUCGUUUCAAAUCUGUGUUGUGAGCUCCUUUUUAAAGGAAACAAGAAAAAAAAAUAAACAACUUUUUUUUUUGUGUGAAUUUCAUGCUGAUGACAAGGUGCCGGAUUGACAGCCCUGGAGACUGAAAUCCUCUAUUUAUCCACAGGACAGGUACAGCACAGGCAGCGACAGUGCGAGCUUUCCCCACACCACCCCGUCCAUGUGCCUCAACCCUGACCUGGAGGGACCACCUCUAGAGGCCUAUACCAUUCAAGGACAGUAUGCCAUUCCACAGCCAGAUUUGACCAAGCUGCACCAGUUGGCAAUGCAACAGUCUCAUUUUCCCAUGACCCAUGGCAACACCGGAUUCAGUGGCAUUGAAUCCAGCUCUCCAGAGGUGAAAGGCUAUUGGGGUUUGGAUGCAUCUGCUCAAACUACUUCUCAUGAACUCACCAUUCCAAAUGAUAGUGGAAGGAUCUACUGAUCGGCAGGUUACCAUCACUGGAUCUGCUGCCAGCAUUAGUCUGGCUCAGUAUCUAAUCAAUGUCAGGCUUUCCUCGGAGACAGGUGGCAUGGGGAGCAGCUAGAACAGAGCAGAUUCAUCCAUAAUCCCUUUCUGCUGUUCACCACCACCCAUGAUCCAUCUGUGUAGUUUCUGAACAGUCAGCGAUUCCAGGUUUUAAAUAGUUUGUAAAUUUUCAGUUUCUACACACUUUAUCAUCCACUCAUGAUUUUUUAAUUAAAGUGUUUUAAUUCUUUUCUCUGUUCAGCAGUUACGCUGAGAUAUCCAUAUUUAGUUUUAUAAGCUUCUCCCCCUUUUUUGUUUUGUUUUGUUUUUUUUUUUUGGCUCAUGAAUUUUUGUUUGUCAUGGAAAUGUAAGAGUGGAUUAUUAAUACAUUUCAGUUUAGUUCUGUAAUGUCAGGAAUUUUUCAAAAAAAGAAUUAAAAGAUGGACUGGAGCUUUUUCUUUGUGAAUAGAAACUGGAUGCCACAGUG
rnacentral:lncRNA from 1 species